rnacentral:lncRNA from 1 species
GACAAAUCAGUUUCUGAUAGCGAAUGGGCAGAUGACAGGAGCUUAUUGGAUUUCUUUCCCCAAGGACUCAAUGAAGAAGUGAAAGAAGAGUGAGAGAGAAAAGCUACCCUGUGUGGAAUGGAAGGCAGAUGAGCUUCUACGAGUUCCAUCCCUGCCAUCAGCAUAAGGAUUGCCUGAUUCAGACAACCGUGUGGACCCAGAGGAAAAGGCAGCAUUGGCACACAUCAGCAACAGGAAGGGAAGGUGAAGUCCCAUGCCUCUCCCUACAGGUGUUCCUGGAAGGUGGUGUCAGAAGUAGAAUCCAAAGGAGAGCUUCUAACAACCCCCAGGAGUGCUGAGUGACCAAGUGAGGUAUCAUUGUGUCCAUUGCUCCCUCAGAGCAACUGAGGAUCAUGAGAGUUUCCUCUAUGCAUCAUGGAAAGCAUUAGGGGCUGAAGUCACACCACCGUGAAGUUUAAGAAGAGAAAAAGAGAAAGAAAAGACAACUAAAAGCUCUGGAAUUCGAAAUGAAGACUCCUUGUGCAGUCCUUAAAUAUUAAAAUAAACAUCUUUUAAAAUC